GCCGAGCAGAGUAUCUAACCCAUUGAUUCAAGAUGCCCGAUUUGGGGAUGAGAAGGUCACCCCAAUAUCCCCACGGGCAAUACCAGUUCCCUCUGGAUUGGCUUCGUCCCCCUCAACAUCAUCCGCCAGGAAAGGCGGAUGUGUGAGCAGGGCGAAUUUUGGCCAUAAUCCAGCAGUGAGAGUUGAAGGUUUCGAUUGCCUUGACAGGGAUCGUCGUAAUUGCAGCAUCCCUACCUUGGCUUAAGAGAAAACAGUACAUAGAGGAAGAUUUUCGUCAGACUGAGAAACAAAGGAAAAAGAUCCUUUUGCCUAGUGUAAAUAUAAGUUCAAAAGGGAUCUCUAUGUAAGUAAAAAAUGUAAUAUAGUGUCUUUUUGUCUCUGUAAGUAAAUGAGAGUCGUUAUUAACAAAGCUAUUAGAGUCUAAUUAGGAGUAAUUUAAUGGUUUCUUGUUCGAAGAAAUUUUGUAAAAAAUGAGAAGGAAAAAUUAGUUGUUGAGUGGAAUCAUUGUAAAAUGUGUAUGAUAUGUAUAUAAGAAUUCCG
rnacentral:misc_RNA from 1 species